GUCCACAAAUCUUUGGUGGACAUCUGCUCUCCCCUGUGCUCUGGGGUGUACCAGGCACUCAGGGUACAGAGAUGAAGGCCUCAGCCUUUCCUGGAGGAACUGAGUCUGGGAGAGAAGACAGCCUGUACACGGAUGUGAUUUGCAUCAACGCAGAGCAGCAGCUCGUGGAGGCAGCACAUGGGACACAGGGGCGGGGCUGCAAGGUUGAAGGGACCUGUAGGACUGGAACAAUCUAGAACGUUCCAGAAACAGGAUGCCCUCCCCAGCCCCACCGGGCUCUCAGUCCCACCCUGUGACUGGGCCCUGAGUGCCCCACGGGCACCCACAUCCUCCUGUUUGCCUUUUUCAUCUGGAAAAGGCCUUCAAGGGCCUUCUCUGAGAAGCCAUCCUCAGUUUCCCUCGUGGCUCUGGGAGAGUCUGGGGCCUGCAGGUGUUGAGGGGUGGAGAGUAGCAGGGGCUAGGAAGGCAGAGGUGGUGGGGAGGCUGGGGCUUACUCGCUGGCAGCAGGGACACAGAGAACAGGAGAAGACGAGCAGCCCGCAGGGGAGGGGAGCCUGGAAGUGUGUGGGGUAUGGGCCUCUGAACUGGGGAGAAGGUGAAGUGCUCCAGGUCCAAGGUGCCACCCUCAGCCAGUGCCACCCCUGUGCCCGAGGGGCUCACCUUGGACCAGCGCCCUCAUCCUCCUGUGAGCGUAGCACCCCAGCAUCCAUCACCUUCCAAGAACCCCACCCUGAACACACGAGUCCCUGGGGUGACAUUGUAGAUGUCGCCGUACCAGUGGCCUUGGGAGCACAGAAUGUUGCCAUUCUUGCCUCUGUCCUGUCAUUCUUGCCCUUCAGGGAAAUCUGAAUUCCCUCCUCUCUUUCCAGCAAGUGCGGCCCCAUCCCGUCCUACCUGGAUGGCCACCGAGUCUUCACCGAAGUCCUCUGGGGCCAGUCUGUGCCACCGCAGCCUGAGUGAUCACAGGAUGCCCGCCGCAGUGCGACAUGUUCUAUUGUAAAAAAUCAGAUACUCUCAUAGCAAAACUUCAGAUGGUAGUGAGAGUAGUGGGGGAAGCCAAGGAUCGGCCUUUCCUUGUCCCAGGCUGCAAGCCUGCCCCCCAGAGGAGCCUGCGUGUGGCAGCCAUCACGUGCAGAUGUGUAACUGCGUGUGCGCCCCCACGGCAGCCCAGCCUCUGCACCUGCACUCUCCACCUGCACGCGCACAGGUCCCUCAGUAAGUUCACAACUUUCCCUCGGAGAAGUAUUAUAUAUCCCGCGAUAAGCGAAUAUCCACACAGCGGUCCUUUGUCUACCCUUGUGAAUGGACUCUUCUCUUCCCGAGUGUCUUCUGACUGGCUGUGUGUUCCUGGGGAACCUUUCCAAACAGCCUGCCCUCGCUGGAAGCGCCUGGACAGCGGAGGCCCCCACUGCCGGGCCGCUCCCCUCCACGCCUGGAUUCCGGGUGUCCCCGGCUCACCGAUACCACCCUUGCUUCUCACCUCCUGGGGCAGUGGGUGCCGGGGCGAAGUGGAUUUUUGUGACUAUGAGCGUCACCCCCGACGGUGUCCCAGGCCACCCGGCCCCUGCCGAGCGGAUUCUAGGGGUUGGACUCGGAACUUGUGGUUUGGGGCCGUGGGGACCCUGAGAACCUGCUCGGCCCAUGUCCACACCCUCUCACAGGGAGAUCGGAAGCUCCAUCAGCCCCUCCGGGCGGCCACCUCUGGGACUGCAGACUAG
ensembl:lincRNA